rnacentral:snRNA from 1 species
GAACCGGGAAGAGCCCAG